GGACAUUAAAGUGUAAUAUGCUGCACGACAGACAAUAGAAUUGUAUAGUGUCAAGGUUUAAUUAUUACAUGCAUACCACACGAGUUUAUAUACAUUAAUCAUUCACAAAUAUGAGGGAAGUCACAAACCGGCGACUGCCGACUGGAUUAAGGAAGUAGCAACACCUGCCUCCGUUAAAUUGACUGCUGAAAAUACAAGCAAACUGUGAUAUCUGUCUGAAAUCUGAACAAUGGCUUUUACCAACAACAAAAAAAAGCUGAACAAUGGCAUAUCAAUACAUGUUUUUCACAUGUAUGCUACAUGUCAUGUUUUUCAUUAGUCUUUAAUCGCGCAUCCGUUUUCUUGCUCGUAUUCCUUGAUCUUUGAAUAUGGAAGGAAGUUAUAGAUUGCUCUCUUAUAUACAAAUCUACUAACUUAAUCAUAACUUCUAUCCAACUAACUUAUAGAGAGCAGUAAAAGAAAAGGAUGAGUAAUUUGGCCUUAUCCAAUGAAAACAAUACUAGGCAAUUUGUGAUCAUGAAGCGAAAGCUUCUAGAAUUUAAUCAUACUUUCCCCAGUGUUUUACUAAAUCUCUUUGGAAUUCAUUUUCUUAGUGGAUAGUGCCGUGCGAAGAGUUUAAGGGGCCUAAGGCAAGUUCUAAAAAUAAAUUUAUUUACAACUGUAAUGAAAAUAAUUUUCUAAUGUGAUAUAUUAUUUUCACCAAAUACACAAGUCUAAUACUGUAAAGAAAUAAGUUUAUAACGUAAAUAUGUUAUAUUAUGUUAUAUAGAAAAAAAUACAUGAAUUCAGAAAAUGAGUUGAUUAAUUUUCGUAGAAAUGUUUUUUUUUAAAUAAGUCUAAACCACUAGACUAGAAAUUAUUUUAAAUCUUGGGGCCCUAAAAAUAGUCAUAUUAAUCGGGGGCCUGAGGCGAAUGCCUUUUUCAAUACACUGUAGGCACACCUCUGUUAGUGGAUCAUCAGAAAUUGAUAUAUUCAUUCUCACCAUCCACAUAAACGUUCUCACGUCAUCAUCCUAUCGAGUUCAUAUGUCCAGAGUCAGAAUCUUUCUAGCUAUAUCGUAUUGUUAUUUGAUAUGUAGCCACAUUAAAAAUUUUAACUAAAACAUAAGAGUAAACUUAUCAGUGGUUCAUGGUCAUAGUUACAUCAAUAUCUAAACAAGAAACCUUUACGAACAACGAGAAGAAGAGAAAAAAUACCUCCGAGAAUCACCAAAAUCUAGAUUAGUUCGACAAUGGAGAACAGACGCCGAGAAAAAAGAGGGGAUGGGAGAGCGACCUACUGUCCGACGAGGUCACAGGGAUCCGAGGAGCAUCCAUCCAAAUCGCAGAUCUGGUUUUUAGUUGAUAGGAAAAAGAGACGUGGGUGUGUAUCGACGUUCUAAUUUCUUGAAAGAGAAGUAAAUCAAGAUUUUUUUUGGUUAACAAUAGAAGUUCCGGACCGUACCAAUGGUAAUUUGAACCCGGC
rnacentral:lncRNA from 1 species